UACGAGGGGGGCAAGCGUUGUCCGGAUUUAUUGGGCGUAAAGAGCGUGUAGGCGGCCAUACAGGUCAGCUGUGAAAACUCGAGGCUCAACCUCGAGACGUCGGUUGAAACCGUAUGGCUAGAGUCCGGAAGAGGAGAGUGGAAUUCCCGGUGUAGCGGUGAAAUGCGCAGAUAUCGGGAAGAACACCCGUGGCGAAAGCGACUUCCUGGACCAAUACUGACGCUCAUGUGCGAAAGCGUGGGGAGCAAACAGG
rnacentral:rRNA from 1 species